GUGAAUCAUCGAAUCUUUGAACGCAAAUUGCGCCUUUUUCGGAAGGCAUGUGUAUUUGAGCUCGACAUUUAACAAAUAAUGUGCAGCGUUUUUUUUUGCACACGUGGAUUAGCUUUCCAAGAAUUUUAAAUUUUUUGUUGCGCAUAAUGAACUGAGUGUAGGUUUUUUUCGGUUCUAUUGUAAU
rnacentral:misc_RNA from 1 species